GUAGUCUGCACAGAUGCAUAUCAAUAAGCGGAGGAAAAGAAACUAACAAGGAUUCCCUUAGUAACGGCGAGUGAAGCGGGAAGAGCUCAAAUUUGAAAUCUUCAAGGUUUUACCUUGACGAAUUGUAGUUUAAAGAAGUGUUUUCUGUUGAAGUUUUGGUAAAAGUUCUUUGGAAUAGGACAUCAUAGAGGGUGAGAAUCCCGUAUUUGACCAUUAUUUUCAGCUGUGUGAUACACUUUCAAAGAGUCGGAUUGUUUGGGAAUGCAGUCCCAAAAUGGGAUGGUAAAUUUCAUCUAAGGCUAAAUAUUGGCGAGAGACCGAUAGCGAACAAGUACCGUGAGGGAAAGAUGAAAAGAACUUUGAAAAGAGAGUUAAACAGUACGUGAAAUUGUCAAAAGGGAAGCGUUUGACACCAGUGUUGUUUUCUCGAAAAUCAAUUAAAAAGAGUUAGAUUUUGUUGUGUAUUGACCUUAACAGCUUGCAUUUCAAUUUUCUUGCUUUUUUUAAUGCAUCUUUUCGUUUAACAAGUCAACAUCAGUUUCUUUUGUUGUAAAAAGGUCAUUGGAAGGUGGCUUUCUUUUCGGAGAAAGUGUUUAUAGCCUUUGACUCCUGCAAUCGGAGAGACUGAGGUCUGCAGCGUAGAUCCUUCGGGGUUAGAUGCAUUUGUGCUAAGUUAUAGCUUUUUAUAGACAACUUGUUGACUAUGAUUAGUCUUGUAGCUUACUCGCUUAUGCUAUUUUAUCCUACGCUUAGGAUGUUGAAGAUGUAGCACAUCAU
rnacentral:rRNA from 1 species